rnacentral:rRNA from 1 species
AGAGUUUGAUCCUGGCUCAGAUUGAACGCUGGCGGCAUGCCUAACACAUGCAAGUCGAACGGAAACGAUGGGAGCUUGCUCCCAGGCGUCGAGUGGCGGACGGGUGAGUAACACGUAGGAACCUGCCCCGUAGCGGGGGAUAGCCCGGGGAAACCCGGAUUAAUACCGCAUACGCACCAUGGUGGAAAGAGGGCCUCUUCUUGAAAGCUCUCACUAUGGGAUGGGCCUACGUCUGAUUAGCUUGUUGGUAGGGUAAAGGCCUACCAAGGCGACGAUCAGUAGCUGGUCUGAGAGGAUGAUCAGCCACACCGGGACUGAGACACGGCCCGGACUCCUACGGGAGGCAGCAGUGGGGAAUAUUGGACAAUGGGCGCAAGCCUGAUCCAGCAAUGCCGCGUGUGUGAAGAAGGCCUGAGGGUUGUAAAGCACUUUUAUUUGGGAAGAAAAGCUCGAGGCUAAUAACUUCGAGUAUUGACGGUACCAUCUGAAUAAGCACCGGCUAACUCCGUGCCAGCAGCCGCGGUAAUACGGAGGGUGCAAGCGUUAAUCGGAAUUACUGGGCGUAAAGCGUGUGUAGGUGGUUCGUUAAGUCGGAUGUGAAAGCCCCGGGCUCAACCUGGGAACUGCAUUCGAUACUGACGGACUAGAGUUUAGCAGAGGAAAGCGGAAUUCCGGGUGUAGCGGUGAAAUGCGUAGAUAUCCGGAGGAACACCAGUGGCGAAGGCGGCUUUCUGGGUUAAAACUGACACUGAGGCACGAAAGCGUGGGUAGCAAACAGGAUUAGAUACCCUGGUAGUCCACGCCCUAAACGAUGUCGACUGGCUGUCGGGUUCAUUUGGAACUUGGUAGCGAAGCUAACGCGUUAAGUCGACCGCCUGGGGAGUACGGCC